CUCUCUCUUCUCUCUCUUCUUCUUCUUCUUCUUUUUUUCCCCCUUAACACGUGUUCACCUAGUGUGGCACAAUACCAUUGGUUUAAUCGCUUGUUUUGGUGUGGAUCUUUUUGGCCUCAUUAUGACAAUUAGCAAUACCUGGGAUGGACACAGGCUGGGGUUUGCUGGUUCCCAAAGAGUGGGCUCUUUGGCUCAGACAUGAGGAUGAAGCUGUUAUCAGUGAUGGCAGCCUGUGUGCCUGCUGUCCAGAUGCAAAAGGAGGAUGCAGAGGUCACCUUCCCAGCUCCUCCAUUACUUUAUUUUCACAGGAAAGACCACCACUCUUCAGUUUUUACCACAAACCAACCUACUUCUUUCAUUGAUGUAGCUAGUGUCAGUCCCACAGGAUAAAGUUAGGAUCCAGUUUUUGCUCCUUCCAUACCAUUUUUCUGGAUUGGAUGACUCUGUAUAAGAACAAAUGGUGCAGUCUGCAUCUUUUACACUCUAACUAGAGUUUCAUAAAAUCCAUCUCCCUUCUUAAAACUUCCAUUGCAGUUUUUGUUCAGAAAUGGACUAUAGAAUAAUGCAAUUGAAACUUUUUUCGCCCCUUCUUACUCUUUUAAAAUGUGGGAGCAGAUUUGGUAGGUGCAGGUUAUUGUGGCUGUGCUGUUUUGUUGUUUGGAGGGUUUAUUUGAUAACAGUUAAUGGGAAUAAAUAAUGUUUGGUUUUUUUUAACAGCACACAUACAUUCUGUAGAGAGAAGUGUAAUGAUUAUAAGUAAGUAGUUCAUAAUGCAGUAAAUAUAUAGUGCUAAAUUGGCCAAAUGUUUACAGGCUGAUACCUGAUUCGAGGAAAAAAACCACAGGCUAUCGCCUAUUAAUUAUUUAUGCUUGUUUGACUAACGCUGUCAGAGUUGAUACAGUGAUACUUUAUAUAAAAAUAAAAUGCAAAUUAAAAAAGACUUGGUUUAAAUGUAAUGAAAUAUGAUGAUGAUAAGUUUAUACAAAAAACAGAGCCUUUAUCUGCCAUAAAUGUAACCAUCUGGCAUUCUGUAGCUGGAAACAUAUUAAUGAACUGAAGACUAUUCUACAACUUUUUUCCAUUAUAAAGAGUAUUUUUCAAAUUGUUCAAAUGGGACCUACUAGCUGGAUGAUCCAUAUUUUUAUGUGUUUUGAGUUCAUGAAAAUGUUAAGAUUUCUGCAGUGAAACUAUUCAGAGUUACCUUUUUCUGUACAUCGUCAAAUGAUUUUUGUCUGUAGUGCAAGAUACUAUAGGCUACUUCAAAAUACUUGAAGAUAUUGUACAUGUAUUUCACAUAUUUGUAGUUCUUUAUUUUAUAUCUAGAGAUUGGCUGUUAAACUAAGAUAAAGCAUCGAUACCUUAUAAACUAUAUAUUUUACUACAUGGGGAAAUCACUGGCUCGUUCUUUUUAAGGGCGGGCAUUGAAGUUUACAUUAUAAUGACAAAACCAGGUACUGAUUUCCUUUUUUAUUUUUCCUGUGACAUUUCAAUCCAUUGGACGUUAAAUGUGAAUUGGAUAUACAAAA